rnacentral:rRNA from 1 species
UACGUAGGGUGCGAGCGUUAAUCGGAAUUACUGGGCGUAAAGUGUGCGCAGGCGGCAGAGCAAGUCGAGUGUGAAAGCCCCGGGCUUAACUUGGGAAUUGCGCUCGAAACUACUUUGCUGGAGUGUGGCAGAGGAAGGUGGAAUUCCACGUGUAGCGGUGAAAUGCUUAGAGAUGUGGAGGAACACCAAUGGCGAAGGCAGCCUUCUGGGCCAACACUGACGCUCAUGCACGAAAGCGUGGGGAGCAAACAGG